GUCGCGUCCUACAGAAGAGAAGAGAGGCAUGGCAGAUACAGGGCCAUGUGCAAACAAAAGCCAGGCCUUUGCUGCCAGAUGGGUGCUGAGGCGGAAGCAGCACGUGCAGGAGGGCCAGGUUCCCGGGUAUCCUGCCUGGCCCCACCCUCAGGAAGAUCCAGCAUCUUCUCAGGGCCUGAAGAUGCCCUCAGAGCAGCAAGACAGUCCUUUUCAUGCCCGAGAGCCUGAAAGUGCCAUCCAACAAACGAGGCCACCGGAAGCAGGGGCUGUCACACCACCACUGCCAUGCCCAUACCUGCAUCCACGUCAUUGGGCCAUCCGCUAGACUGGCUGCUGCCAGCGGCCGGAGAGCGGCCUGUCCCAGGAUAGAACACAUCAUCUACUGGACUCUCCAUCUCACUGUCGUCGAUGGACUUGGGGCGCUUGGUGCUGCUGAGGAGGAGGAGGAAGAAGAAGAAGAAGAAGCAAGUCAAGUGGGCCAAAGUUCCAGGCACCCCAGUUCUAGGAGCAGAGCAUCUCCAGACCUGCUCUCCCUCAGGUUGCCAGGACACCCUGAAGGACCAUCAAAGAACAGGCAAAGCACCUUUAUCUGCCUUCCACACCCCACCCACUCUUUCCUAUUAGCUCUCAGCUGUGCCGUGGAACUCAGUCAUUAAAGAGUGUUUUAAGCCAA